rnacentral:rRNA from 1 species
UACGUAGGGUGCGAGCGUUGUCCGGAAUUAUUGGGCGUAAAGAGCUUGUAGGCGGUUUGUCGCGUCUGCUGUGAAAAUCCGGGGCUCAACCCCGGACUUGCAGUGGGUACGGGCAGACUAGAGUGUGGUAGGGGAGACGUGGAAUUCCUGGUGUAGCGGUGAAAUGCGCAGAUAUCAGGAGGAACACCGAUGGCGAAGGCAGGUCUCUGGGCCACUACUGACGCUGAGAAGCGAAAGCAUGGGGAGCGAACAGG